rnacentral:rRNA from 1 species
CAGUCGCCACGGGAAAACCGAGGGUGCAAGCGUUAAUCGGAUUUACUGGGCGUAAAGGGCGCGUAGGUGGUUAUGUAAGUGAGAUGUGAAAUCCCCGGGCUCAACCUGGGAACUGCAUCUUAUACUGCGUAGCUGGAGUGCAGUAGAGGGUAGUGGAAUUUCCGGUGUAGCGGUGAAAUGCGUAGAUAUCGGAAGGAACACCAGUGGCGAAGGCGGCUACCUGGACUGACACUGACACUGAGGCGCGAAAGCGUGGGGAGCAAACAGGAUUAGAUACCCGUGUAGUCCCUGUCUCUUAUAC